ACAAACGACUCUCGGCAACGGAUAUCUCGGCUCACGCAUCGAUGAAGAACGCAGCAAAAUGCGAUACUUGGUGUGAAUUGCAGAAUCCCGUGAACCAUCGAGUUUUUGAACGCAAGUUGCGCCCGAAGCCAUUCGGCCGAGGGCACGUCUGCCUGGGCGUCAC
rnacentral:rRNA from 1 species